rnacentral:lncRNA from 1 species
AUAGAGGAAUCCAGCUGCUAAUGCAAAUCAGGUGCCGACUUGUGAAAAACAAUUGUACAAUCUGCAUUAGUUUACGCAUAAUGAUAUUCAUAAAUCAGAGAUGGCGCUGCAUAGUACACACUUCAUUAUACACACAAGGAGAAAUAGAUAUUGUUUAUAGAAUCCUUAUUAAUUACAAAGUUGUAAGUGUCAGUUAUUGGUGCAGUGUCAGGUAUUGGGCAACUUACCUUAAUUAAAAGGUCAUUCACACAAGAUGGAACAGGGACAUCUUAACUUUUCUUUAGACAUUAUAAAAAGGUGCUUUCUCCUUGUUAUAAUGUUCUGAAAGAAAAGUUAAGAUAUUUAUGUACAACUCUUAUCCAUAAAUAUCUUAACUUUUUCCUUAUAGAGUGUGCUCUAAACAGCUCUAUGCUUCAGUAUAGAAUUAAUCUAAGGAACAGUUAUCAAACAGAUGUUAUGUCUGCUAGUUAUAAUGCUAAUUUGCUUAAAAGAAGUAGAAUCCAAAGUUUCUGGAUUCAUGAAGAGCAUUUUCAAUUGAUUUUUUCAAUUGAUAAGUAUAUUGACUGAGAUGCAUUCUUAAAUUCUAUGAAUUGACUUAAAAUCCCUAUCUCUGAUAAAGCUAUUCACUAGAAUUUCUUUAAUAAGUGUGAUAAGAUAAUUGGAUGAUAAGACUUGCCUAGAUAUAAGAACUUUACCCAAGCUUAAAUGAUAUCCUUAGCUAUUGCCAAGAUCAUGGAAUAUAACCAAAAGCUAGACAAGUCCUGAAGAUAAAGAAAUGGUCAGAAAGUCAAUACAAGUAGUCCUUGACUUAUUGACUGCCUCAAAUUAUGACCACUUUUGCUUAUAAGUGAUGAAAUUUGUUAAUUCUGUGAUUGAUAAAUGCAGUUCACUGGGUUCAAGUCCUUGACUCAAUGAUAGUAUACAGAAAGUAUUCUUUUUUUUAUAUCUAAUUUUUGUAAUUUUGUGUUCUUUAUGCUUAUUAAGAUAAUGUAUAGUAUCAUAGUAAAUAUUAUAAGUAAGAAAUCCG